CCCUAAAUCUUGGCACUUACACUACUAAAGUGUCCGCCCGAGAACUACGAGCACAAACGCUUAAAACUCUAAGGACUUGGCGGUGUCCCAAACCCACCUAGAGGAGCCUGUUCUAUAAUCGAUAACCCACGAUACACCCAACCACCCCUUGCCAAAGCAGCCUACAUACCGCCGUCGUCAGCCCACCUCCCUUGAAAGAAUAACAGUGGACACAAUAGUCCCUUCUCCCACUAACAAGACAGGUCAAGGUAUAGCUUAUGGGGUGGAAGAAAUGGGCUACAUUUUCUAAGUUAGAAGACUAACGGAAAGGGGCAUGCAACUCCCCCUAGAAGGCGGAUUUAGUAGUAAAGCGGGACCAUAAAGCCCUC
rnacentral:rRNA from 1 species